GGGGAAACAGGAAAAGAUGGUUAUGGGACGUGUAUAUGUAUAAAGCCCUCUGUAACAUACGUUCAACAGGUCGUGACCUUAACCUGUCUUAGCCUGACCUGUAAUUAUGGCUGCAGUGUGGGAUAUAAAUGCGGAACAGAUGGGUGUCCUACGUGUGAUUGUGCUCUACCCUCAGGGUACGCCACACAUGAAGUCGUAAUACAACACAAAGUGGAUUGUACAACCUCGUUCAGUUGUCCUGCUUCAUGUGACGUUGGUUAUAAGUGUACAUUGGACGGUUGUCCUACCCGUGAAUGUUUGGUGGGCUACGUGCAAACAAAAACAACAGGUAAGUCGUCUAAAAGUCUUAUACAGUAAAGCUCAGUUAUAACGAAAUCGUCGGGACCUGUGAAAUUACGUAAGGCAUGUUUUUAAGUUUAGUGUGAGUUAUUGGUGUGUAAAUCACACAGAGUUGUCACGUAUGCAUAUUGCAUGAAGCGAGCUAGCAUUUUAACAACGUCGCUGCAGUCUCAUUGUGACGUCACGUUAACACACGUUUCUCCUUGUAUAUUUCAACGCCUGCAUAUACAUGAAAAUGGUUUUCAAAUCAAUUUCACAGAUUGCUUAGUAGAAAAA